UCAAACUACAAUAUCUUUGUCUCUCUGCAGGUUCAUCUGUCUGAGCACAUGAAUCAUGCUCUCACCCUUCACCUUACCUUGCCAGAGCAAUAUGAAUUUAAUGGCGUCCAGAUGUCUUGGACAGAUUUGCCUCCAUCACUGUACCUUACACUAACAGUAAAGAUAAGGCCUUGAUAGUUCUUUUUAUUUCUUAAACUCAAAGUUGAUUAAUCCAUAAGGGCAAAGUGUUUCCAAAACAUAUAUUAAGAAAAUAGAUGGAUGUUACAUUUCAAUCAAAUGGGCAAUCCCAGGAGAAUUUUAGGAAGGUUUUGGAGAUUGGGGAACUGAGAAAAUAAUAUAUAUUUAUCAAUAGAACUUUUGUAGCUUACCUACAAGACAUUUCAAAUAUUUGCCCUCAAAACAAGAAUGAUUGCCUAGCACAUCUUGUUCUGAUUCAUAAAUGUGAGUUUUGGGAGGUGAAGACUCACAUGAGAUAGGACUCUACCUAGGGUUCCCCAGAUGGCAAGGUGCUAUCACCUGCAGUAAAUUCUAAUUCCAUAGCAAUGGUCAUCUCUCCUUAGGGUUUAUCCUCCUGGGGUGCACAAAGGUCUCCUCUGGUCUGCCUGAAGGGCUUCUCUAAAGAGAAGAUGGAGUGGUCCCCAAAGAGUGAGGCCCUGUCAGGGAGAUUCUGCAUCCCAAACAUGACAGAGAUGGUUUACAAGAGUCUCCUGGAAGACAUUUUCUUUGUCUUUCAGGAAGAUUAAGCUUCAUCCUCCCUGUGGCUAAGCAUGAUCUGGUGCCUAAGUGCUGGACAGUGAGAUGUAAACAGAAAUGGUGGUCAGCUUCUGAGCACCUUUCCUGAGGGACAGCCAUCGAUGUCUUUGAGUCCUCUCCUCCUUUGUUUCUUCCCCACUUUAUAGACUAGAAGUUGGACUACACUAGAGAUGGUGGAGACGGACACUCAAGCUGGAUCCUCAAGGACUUUCUGAAACUGCCAUCACAGCUCUGCAUUUGCUAUAAACCUUGAUUUCUUUUAGGUAAGAGAGAAAUAUAUUUUUCAUCUUUGGAAGCAGUUUCUUGAUCCAUGUCAGUAGGUGACCAAGUUCUCCCGGGUAUCCUUCAGGACCAGCUACUCUUCGUAGCUGUUAAUUCAUAAUGAUGAAUAACAUGUGAGCAACUUCUUAAGAUUCUUUUUUCUCCUUAUUUCUAAGACAAGUUAAGUGAACUUCAUAGAAUUCAAAAUGGGUUCUGCCCUUUGAAAUAGUAUAAAGGGAGAGUUAAGCAUGAUACAAAUAAUCCAAGUGGAUAUGCUUAAAAGAGGUCAGAGGAAGCAGGAAAGAGUCCAAGAUUCUCUAAUUAUCCAAAAUUUAUUAUACAAAAUUUAUAAAGAGAGCAGAUGGGAAAGGUAGAGACCCUAUUCAGAAAAAAUAAGCUCAUCAAAGAUUGUUGGCAUAAUGGCAAAACCCCAGUUCACUGCAAGUUUUGCUAUCUCUUACACUCAAGGACUUUUGUACCAAUUAGAGCAGAAACGGUUCUGUCUCAGUUUUUCUGAGAUGUUGACUUGUCAUUGAACUCUCAGCCUCAGUUGACACCUCAUCCUUGACUGGAAACCUCUCUUAUACUUCAUUUAGCACAGGGGGUGGGAAGCCACAGCUCAUAGACCCAAACAUGGUCUAAGGGUUAAGAAUGCUAUUUAUAUUCUUAAAUGGUUCAAAAAAUUAAGAGGAAAAUAACAUUUUGUGACAAGAAAAUUACAUGAGACUAACACUUCAAUGUCUAUACACAAAGUUAUAUUUGCACAUAGCCAUGGCUGUUCAUUACACAUUAUGUAUGGCUGUUUUCACACUAUGAUGGCAAAGUUACAUAGCUCAACAUAGCCUGCGUGGCUCACAGAGACUCAGGUAGUCAUUAUCUGGCCCUUUACAGAGACAGCUUACCAACCUCAGAUCUAGCACUAUACGCCAUCUUGGUUUUGGAAUUCAUAAAUAAAAUCCUAAAAUUUGAGAGUAGAAAGAGGAUUUAGAAAGUCCCUGUUGACAUCUCUGAUUCAUAUCUAGCUAAGGACAGCAGACUUAUUUUUUGUGCAGUUAUUUCAUUCUUAGAUAUUUAUUUAAUAUCUAAAUGUUGUAGUAGAUAUUUACUUAAUUAUUUACUUUAAAUGUUUAGUUAAGAGGAAAUGGUCUGAUGUUCACUGGUCUUAAUUCUAUUGAGCAUGACCAAGGAUUGCCACAUAAUAAGUGCUUUAAGAUAUUUAAUAAUUUAACACUUACUUAGCGUUUACUAUAUGACAGGAUUGUUCUAAAUACUUGACAAGUGACUCAUAGAAUAUACUGAAAGGUCAGAGAACACUUUACAGAGAUAGAUACUGAGGUACAUAGAGGUUACAAAUUUACCAAGUACACAUAGUUUGUCGGAGGCAGAGUUGGGAUUACAACCCAGUUUGACUUUGGAAUCCAGGAUUUCUGUUGCUCCAUAUAUUUAAGAGUGCAUGAAUAAACAUUUAAUAGCUGCAGUCUUUCAAAUAUGUGAAGAUAACUACCAAAUUCCUAGAAAAAAAAUACAUUUAUAGAAAUUCCAAAAGCUAAUACUUACAGAGUAUUAUACUCUAUAUAAUACUUAAAGAGAAACACAAGAGAAUAAAGUCUUACAGUACUUUCUGCUUUCUCUAACUAAUCAUUCUAGGUACCCACAGAAUGGUAAGGGGUUUGAAAACCACUUAGUAUAAAAAGAGAUUGAAGCCUUUAGGAUAUUUAACCUGGAGAAGAGAACUCCUGUUAGGAAAAUAUGGGAGCAGUUCUAGGCUUUCCAUGGCAUCCAUACAGCCAGAGGAUGCAAGGACAUUUUUCCCAGAACCUACUUUCAGAAUAAAGAGACAUACUUUCUAGAAGCUUCCAGGAAAACUGUUUUAGGCAAAGUCCCUCAAAAACCAGAUACCAAGAUGAGAUUUUUAUCUGCUGGGCUUUCAUGGAGAAAAACAAGUAUGGAUGCAAACAGGGAGCUGGGAAGGCUGGCAGAGCAGUCAGAAGAUGAGGGAAUGCUGACGUGGAGUGAAGGAAAGAGGGCGAGAGGUUGGUGGAAGUGCUUGUACUGUGUGGUCUAAGCACAGUCUUAAGGGAAUUCUUUAGCCAACAUCAGCUGACUUAGAAAUUUUGUCUCCCAGGAACCAACCUGUGUUCAUAUUCCUUCAGAUCCAUAAACUUGGGGAUGACUGCCAGACUGCAGCACCUGGGCCCUUGAUCAGUUGUGCCACGGGAAUGAAUAGGAGGAUAAGGUUUCAACAGGAGGAGUCUUGAUUUGGUGCUUGCUUCUCUGUAUGGCAGGGGUCUUACAGUAAACAGGUUUGAUUGGCAUUUUGGCAAUCAAAUCUCUGGGAGUCUCCACGGCUACACUAGAACUUGAGCAGGAGCUAGAACAGGGUGCCAACCUGAAGUAAGCAUUCUCAAACUAGGGGUUUCCAUCUGGGAGUUCUUACAACUGGGCUUCCCUGCCUAAUGGCUUCAACAUCACUCAAUUCACACACAGCUCAGUUCACAUAUGGGUCAGGAUGGCUUCCGGCAUACGAGGACAUUAAAGUCUUAGGGGGUUAAGAAAUCUUCCUGAGAACACAACAGGUAAGUAGGUGGCUGGUUGAUUGCAAAGUUAUAGCAUCUCCUCCACUUCAAAUUCUUACUAUGGCCAUCUCUCUUCCAGCUUGCUUCAACAAAGCAUUUUAGAUUUGCUUUUCAGGGCUUCUUCUCUUCUGGGUGAGACUGGGAGAGCUUUGUGUCCUCUUAGGUACUGUAUUAAUGCAUUCCACCAACACCGGCUUGAGAUGGCAACUGAAGGCUCUUGAGGCUGGCACAACACCAACUAGAAGGUCAGUUUGUCCUUAAUGUCCAAUAAUUGCAGGUAGCCAAAUACAGUACAGUGCUCAGGAAUAACAUCACUUGGCUGACCUCAUAAGGAAAACUGUUUAAUGUAUCCAUUUUGGUUGCUUAGUUAUAUGCUGAUACACACCAAGAUCAUGUGAAGCUGGCACUUUAGGGAGCCAACGGAAAGACAGACAAUGACCAAAAUAACAAGGACGGUGGAGAGAGUUUCAAGGGUCAUCUCAGUGACAACUCAGACAAAGUAAUCUUUACUGUGGGUUUGCCCUAAUUUAAGGAAUACAAAUUAACAACACAGAUAAGUAAAGAAGUGAGUAUGUAUUGCAAAGAAAAGGCAUAAUGAAUUUACAGAAGGAUUCAGUGUAAGAGCCCCUUAAAUAUCAAUUAAGUGCAUUUAAAAUAUAAUUCAUUAUAUAUAAUAUCAUUUACUAUCGUUUUCAAGAGUACAACCAUUGGGUUAAGGGCUGUUCACCUAUGCUUUGAAAAAAAUACAAUUCAAAUAACUUCCACAAGAAGUUUAAUACAUUUUCUUAUGUCUUUAAUACAUUUUUUAUGUCUAUACAUUCAAGAAUAUUCAUGAAGGCUUUAUUAUGUACAAGACACACUACUGAAUUCUAAGACACUGACUUGGUAGAUCUGGGAUGAGGCCAGAUUAUGCAUUCCUAACAAGUUCCCAGACCACACUGGGUAGAAAGGGCUUCUAGAGAUUCAACUAGAAAAGGUGAGGCUCUGAGUGUCAGAGCCCAAUACCACUGUAGGUUGAGUCAGGGAAGGAUGCUGUUCCCAUCCAAUAGAUGGGUCUCUGGCAACAGCACCUGCGCCAGCACAAUCACAGCAUGCCCUUGGCUUCCGUUGCUGCUGCUGGUCAGUGGGUUUUGCAGUCCCUGAAGCUGGAGUGAAUUCCUAUUUGCAGGAAUCUUUGUAGUCUCAAAGACAUGAGUGAGAGCGGAUAUCUUCUUUCUGCCUCUGUAGUGAGAGGCAGGCUGUGCUUCCCACAAUGACUCACCAUAGGAAAAAUUGAUCUUCCUCAAACCUGGAAGGAAGAUCAGAACUGGACAGCCGAAAUAUGAUAAUGUCUACUAUAAAAAUUAUGUCAACUUAUAUAUAUAUAUAUAUAUAUAUAUAUAUAUAUAUAUAUAUAUAUAAAAACUCCACUUAUUGAUGUGGCUCACCAAUACAUGAUCCACUAUACAGAGAUAAACUUCCCAGGAACCCAUGCAGUCACAUGGCUUUAACCUUGGACGUGCCAAUCUUCCUCCAACCUUGAAUAGAAGGAACAGAUAUUCUGCAUUAACACGUCAUGCUAAUAUGGGCUCUUCCUUAUUUGCAGUAAAAAACAUUUCACAUUCCAAUUCUCAUUUGCUUUAUUUUUCUUUUUACUGAAUUUUUUUUCUUGUGUUAGGGAAUAUAUCUCUGGAUUUAGUUUAUGAGGAUCAAUCAAAUCCCAGAGGCAUUCAGUUCAUCCUCAUGAUGGGAUUUCCAGGGCUAUUUCUCCAAUAUUAAAAAAUAAAGGUAAAUCUUAUGCUGCAGUUAAGAAGAAUGAGAAAUGUCAAAGUGUACACCGGUUUGUUCCCCUUUUAGGAUCACUAUCCCCAACCAAAUUGUAAGCUGGCUUUCAUUAAAAUGUGAUAUUUAUCUUUCCAAAGUGAAUUUGUCUUCCUCUGAUAAGAAGAGAAAAAAUGUCACUAUUUGCUGCUAAAUAAAUAAAUAUAGGAACAGACACAUGAUUCUUUUAAUGAAAACCAUAAUUUGAAAACAAUAUCUUUCUUAAAUGUACAGUACACUAAUAGAGGCAAAAAUUGGCAUAAGAAUUCAAAUAAAUUCUGGGCUGGGGGUGUAGCUCAGUGGUAGAACAUGUGCUUGACCCAGCAGCACAAAAAUAAUUAAAUAAAUUCUAUCAUGUUCCAAGAAGAUAUGGACAAAGAUGCUUAUCAAAAUUAUAAUAUAGACUUUUGUUUCCACAUACUGUCUCUCAUUGCUAGUCAGUGAAGGGCAGGAAUCAUAAACAGGCAUUUUCUAUGUAGGAAAGAAGACAGUAGGUUUAGACUGUUGGGUUAGACAGAGAAAAGGGAUCCAGGAGACUCAAUCACCUGACUGAAUUAUCCACUAUUGAAUCAGGUAUAAAACAGCACAUCAAUUAGGGGUCCAAUAUGUGAAGCAGGCACAGAUUCUCAGGGGAUAAACAGAUUGCCCCAGACCAGGCCUGACACCAUAGGACAGGCAGAGAACUUGUGUUCUCUUUUCAUGUCUGGACAAACAAAAGACUUAGCUCAUCUAAUUUUAAAACUAACAAUGGGGAUCUUCAACAUUUACUUCACAAAUACAGCAAAUUGGAAGUGCAUUGGUCUGGAGGCCUAAUUUUAAUUCUGUUUCUGACACUCUUUCCUCAUCUGAGGAAUGAGAAGUUUGGAAUAAAUGACCAUAAUGAUUUUUCUUUCUUGGCAUGUCAAUCAAAAGACUAAAAUGAUUUCUGUCUACGACAUGCUCUGUUAGAAGGAGAGGGAUGGGAUUAGGAAAGAACUUUAGAGGUGAGGGAAAUGAAAAACUUGAAGAAACACCUAGAGAAGGAUGAGAACUGUGGAGAGGUCUUCAGUAGGUAGUUAAUAAGAGGAACUCCAUCCCCUGGAGCUGUGGACUAAGGAAGAGUCUUUGACUUAAUCAUUAAGCCCAUCUGAUUGUUCCCAGCAGCUAAUAUCUGUUUCUUGAGUAGCUUUAUUCUGAAUGAGAUAGUUACAGCAACUCACCAGGAGGUGAAAUGAUUUUUUUGGUGACUAGCAGAGAUAGCCAGAAUACUAUCACUCCAGGAGCAAGAUAUGAAUCUAGUUUAAUAUUGGACUUCAUCACUGAUCUUGAAUGUUCUCUCUUGAGUAAAGGACCCCAAAUCAGUGCAUUUGGAACCAUAAAAUGUGAUUCAGAACCCAGGAGGAGAUAUGCAUCAAAUUCUUAUAUACUUAAACCGAAGAUUAGCCACUGUCACGGAAAUAUCUUAAUGAAGGUGGCUGGCCUUUUGUUUUUCUACAAACAACAUGUUGGAAAAGGAAAAGAGAGAGACUGGGUUUAAGAAAAUAAUUUUUUUUUAAGUUCUCUGGUAAUUGAAAAUUGGCUGCAUUUAUUUUCUGGUUUGGGUUUUUCUUUUUUGGCUUGAACUGUGAAAAGGAGCAAGCAGAAAGAAAUUUUAUUCUGCUUUGACACUGAACACAGUAGCUACACAUAACGCUUUUUAAAGUCCUACCAUAUGCCCAUCUAUCACACACAUAAUUUAGCAUGUACAAAAACUCUGAGAGUCUGAUGGUAUAACCCUUGUUUUGGAUGGUGAUCCUGAAUAGGAAUUUUGAGGUGUAGGGGAGAUCCUCAGAAAUUAUGAAUGAGUUCGGCUAAGGUCUCUUCACUUCAAGUCAGAUGUGCUUAGAGCUGCUACUCAGCUUCUGGAAUCAUCUGGUAGGCAGCUUGGCUGUGAAAGGAGUAUAUUUGGCUCAACUGCAGAUCAAGACACCAACCAGCAACAGCCUAAAAACAGAUACUCGCCCAGCCCUAAAGGCAUCAAUGUGUUUUGGGACUACAACCUUACAAUUGUCCCUUCUGGAACAGUGUUACACACCUCACAGCAUACUGGUUGAAUAAAUGAGUGAAUGCGCUUGCCUCUUUGUCUGCAAAAAUUGACUAUGACUGACGAUACAGAAGUAUUUCCCCAAAGAGUGAAUCUUCCUAAACACAAAAACCUGAAAUGUUAAUAUUCUGAAUUGGUCUCUUUGUCUUGUUCUCUAGAAACUAAUUUCAAUGUCAUCCUGUAACUUGGGUCUAUUCAAGUUCCGAGAACUGCAAUAUAAUAGUAAAUGGCCAAGUUGAUUGUCUUGAGUUCAUUGACCUGUGAAAAGGAGACUUUGGGGGGGGACUUGGGGGGAUGAGCCUGUGUACUCUUGCGUCAUUUAUCAGAAUUACCAAAAGAAAAAGUAGGAUGUAAGUCAACACUUGUCUGUCAGUAGGUAAACCUUGAAUUAUUUGCUAAGUAGGAAAGUAGGUUAAAAACAACUCUUUUAAAAAAAAGAUUUUAUGUGCUGUAGGUCGCUUUAUACAUUAUCAAGUAGCAGCAGACUCUCUUUCUUCUAAAUCAAAGUCAUCAAAGUAUUCAGAGUGGAACAGAACUAGAAUUAUCAGCAUUCACUUUCUCAACUGUAAGAUGUUUUGAACCCUAGAUAAGAAUGGAGCUUAAGAUGAAAAUGGUACCUACAAUAGGUUAAAGAUUUUAAAUUUGGGAAAAAAAAGACCUAACAAAUCUGCAACUAUAGACUAUCAGAAACAAGUGCCAAUCAUGGAAGGAUAAGGUGAAAACAAUACAGCGUGUCACUAUAGCAGAGAUUGUCAUAAAAUAUGGCAAUAGAUGGAGUGGCUCUCCAGCCUUGUACCUGUUUCCACAAUAUUCCACAUAUACAUCAUGCUCUUAUCCAGAAGAUGAAGGACAUAAUGAGAAUCACAGAUGCAGAGCUAUAUUUGUUGGCACAGGAAAAUGUCCAAACAUAUUGCUGACUGGAAAAGCCAGAUUCUAGGACAUUAUGUAGAAUUACAUCUAUAUGUGCACAUUCAUAGAGAGAUGUCUCCAAGGAUAUUCAGCAAAAUGUAAAUGGAGGGUGGGAUUUCAAGUGAUUUCUACUGUCUUGUUUGUACUUUUCUGUAUAAGCAAUUUGAUUGUGUGUGUGUGUGUGUGUGUNACACUGGGUGUGCGGGUGUUUUCCCAACUCACACCAGCUAUAGCAGUUCUCCAGCAGAUUCUCCAACAGACAUCAGCUGGGUGUCCUCCGGUGCAAUUCAAUUCUGACACUCUUUACCUGGAGACAGCUUUGGAUCCCAUGGGUCAAGGGUGCAGUGCCACAGACUGCCUCUCUCCCUUCAGAUGCCAGUGGCAAGUGUGACUUGUGACCUAUGCUUCUGACUGGCUUUACAUCAGGGUUCCUAGGAACCCUUCCUGCAUUCAAUUAAUUUGUGAGAGUGACUCACAGAUCUUAGGGAAAUACAUUUAUCAGUUUCUUAAUAAAGGAUAUAAUAAAGGAUGCACUGAACAGCCUGAAGUAAAAAUGCACAGGGCAAGGAAUGGACAACAGGGCUUGGGUCCUCCAUGUCCUCUUCAGGUCACACCCACAGGAACCUCCCUCCACAUGCUUAGUUAUCAGGAAGUUCCCCGAGCCCAGUACUUAAGGGUAUUUAUAGAAGGAAGCUUCAUUAUAUGGCAGGAUUGAUUAAAUCAACUGAACAUAGGUGAUCGAUUCAAUCUUCAGCCUUUCUCCCUUCCUGAAGGUUGUGGGCAGAAAAUUCCAAGCUUCUAAUCAUGACUUGAUUGGUCCUGUAAACAAUCCCAAUCCUGAAGCUAGCCACCAGCCCUCUGACUAGCAUCUAAAAGACACUCUUCCCCAAGGGUUCUAGAAGUUGUGCACCAGGAAAUGGACUUAGACCAAGUAUAGGUUAUUUUAUAAUAAACCACAGUAUCUUAAGAGGUUUAAGGUUGAAAUGGUUCUCUUUUCCUCUAUGUUAAGAAAUUUCACAUGUGGGAGUUAACGUUGAAAGAUCAGUGGACAAAUGGAGAGAACCAGAUUUUGAAUUAAGCAGGAAUGCCUCUCUGUAUACUUCUUAUUCUCUGCAACGAAUGCGUGUUGGCAUUAGAAGGCUGAACUGCACAACACAUACAGAAUAUUAAUAUUCAGUAAACAAUCAUGAUUACAGUCACCAAGUGCCAAGUAUCUGCUGUCUGAGUGUUUCCAGCCUCCUUUUAAAAUAGUGCAGCUGUUACAUUAAUGGGCGAGGAUCCAGGGUAAUAGGAAGGAAUAAAAAUUGUUGCAUUUGAUUAGUUCUAGUGGAUGUCAUCUUCAAAAUGCGACUAAUUUGAUAAUACCAGAGCAUUUCUGAGGGAAGAAAGAAAAUAAGAAUAAUGUUGUGUAAAUAGAUACAUUAUUAUUUUCAUCUCUUUUGACAUUGACAUUCUCGAAGCAAAAUGACAGCGAGGAAGUGAGAAAUAAGUGAAGCAGCCUUUUCUGUCUAUGGAUAAUUGCAUGAAGGGCUGACAGUUCUGGGCCAGAGGAGCAAGAGUGGGUCCAAUGCAGACUGGCUUUUCCCUUGGAAUUGUUAUAGCAACUCAAAUUCAAAGAAUGUUUAAUAUGUUCCUGGCCCUUUGCUAGCAGCCUCACGUAGAUUAGAGCAUUUAAUCUUCACCACCAACCUGCAGAGUUAAGCACUGUUAUCACUGUCAUUUUACAGAUGUGAAAAUGGAAGCCCAGGAGUCAGGCAACUUCUCAAGGUCACAGAGCCAGAGGUGGUGCUAGCAUCUGUACUCAGGCCUGUCGCUCCCUCAGCUACUAUGAUCUGUUGUUUCUCAAAGUGGACUGGCUAGACAAAGAGGGCCAUGUCAUAGGUAGCCCACCAGGUUACUGGUCCUCAAGUUUUAAAUCAGCUAUUGUGGGAGGAAAAAUUUUAAAAAAAUUAAUUUUAAUUUUAUGCAUUGAAAAUAGUUUCCAUCAAGCCAAGUUGAGGCCACUUUUGCACUGUGGUCUUUGAAAUGCUCUGUCUCUUCUUGUUCCUUUUUUCAUGUUCCUCGGUUUGUAAAGCAGGUCUACAGAAGAAUUAAAUUCAUACCUAAUUAGGAAGGAAGGAAGGAAGGAAGGAAGGAAGGAAGGAAGGAAGGAAGGAAGGAAGGAAGGGGCCUAGAAAUGCUUAAAACUAAAAUUUUGGUUUUGAACCUACUGACAUUGCUAUGGCUUGGAUAACUCUCCCCCAAAGACUCACACAGUAAAGACUUGAUCCCCAGGCCAUGGUAUGUUUUGGAGGCACAGGAACCUUUAAAAACUGGGGACUAGUGUGAGAAAGUUAGGACAUAGAGGGAGUGCCUCCCAGCCAUGAGGUGAGCAGGUGGCUUUACCAGGGGCCUCCUGCCAUGACGUGCUGACAUGCCACAGGCCCAAAGCAACAGGAACAACUGGACUGGAACCUCUGAAACUGUGAGCCAGGAUAAGCGUUUCCUCCUUUCAUUUCUUCUCUCUCUCUCUCUCUCUCUCUCUCUCUCUCUCUCUCUCUCUUUUGUACUAGUUAUUGAACCCAAUGGUGCUUAACCAUUAAGCCUGCCAUUUUUAAUAUUUUAUUUAGAAAUGGGGGUCUCACUGAGUUGCUUAGGGCCUCACUAACUUGCUAAGGCUGACUUUGAACUCACAAUCCUCCUGCCUCAGCCUCCUGAACCACUGGGAUUAUAGGCAUGCACCCCUAUGCCCAGUUUCUCUUUUUAUAUGUUUGAGAAACUCUCCCUAUACAGCAUCCACGUCUGAGGGAAAACAAACUCCACCUUAAGCUCCAAGGAAAAAUCCUGAUUCAUUUAAUUCUAUACCAAUCAUAGCAAUCCUGUCCUUGCUUCCCUCCCCUCCCCCACGAUUCACCCUGGGAACUGGACUGAGGCCAAUGAGUAGAUGGCAAUUCUCCAGAAACUGAUAUAACAACAGGCACGUGCCCUUCGUGGGUCCAAGAAGGCUAAAAGGAGAGAUCUUUUCUUCAUACUUAGGCAUGAGACUUCUACUUGUUCCCAGCUGAUAAUGGCAGCGGACAGGGAUGCUGAUGUGGAGACAAACGGAUGCAGACAGGCUGAGGCUGGGGACCAGGGAGCUGUGGAGUGGGAGCCCUGUGUGUAUUGGGGCUGGGAAUUGACCUGCCUCUGAAUCUCCUGUGACGUGAGACAAUACAUUUCCCUGAUGUGUAAGCCCGUUAGAGUCAGGUUUUCUGUGCCUUCCUGACACACCAUCAUCCUAACUGCCUACAAUAGUAGAGUGGACACAUGUUGCUUGCCUUCCUAAAACCUGUUCCCCUUUCCCACCCAACAACAGUAGCCCUGAUUUUUUUUUUCAGGGAUCCAUCCCCUACCAUCUUGCCAUGUGGCUUCAAUGGAGAGUCAUUCUUUGGGGUCCACGCGGGUCUGUUCCCUGGACGCCCUGGUUGGUUCAGCCUAGUCACAGAGGUAACAGGAAAGUUGCUGAGGCUUCUGAAAACAAGCCUCUCCUCUUUCCCAUAGGAGAACCAGGUGCCUAGUUCUCUUCUCUCCUGGACAGCAGGUGAGCAUGGGGCCUGUGUGAGUUCCCUAGGCCUGCUGUAACCAGUCACCAUGAACUGUGGCUUCAGUCAGCAGAAGUGUAUUUAUUCUCUUGCAGUGCUGAGAACCCAGAGUUCAAAUGCAAGGUGUUGACAGGGUGAGGCUUCCUCUGAAAGCUUUUGGUAAGGAUCCUUCCUUUCAUCUUCCAACCUUUCCCUGUGUGGCUCUGUGUUCAAAUUUCUGUCUUUUUAUAAAGAACCAGCCAUUGAAUGAGAGCCCAUCCUAAUUCAGUAUGACCUCAUCCAAACUUGCUGACGUUACAAAGACCCUAUUUCCAAACCACUUUCACAGGUCUCAGGUAGAUGUGACUUUUGGAGUAACACUAUUAAAUCCAGUAGAGGGCCUAGGACAGUUGCAGCUGUUUUUGCUAUCCUGAAGGAACCCAAUCCGAGAAUGAAGUGAACACACAGAGCCAUGCAGCUCAAGAUAAUCUCAAAGCAAGAGACAUCUUCUGUCUUCUAGAUCAAACUAUGCCUGAAGCAAACUUUAGAAUUUUAAUCUACUCUAACCUAGAAUUUUCUGUUUUUAUUUAAGAUACUUUGUGCUACAGUUUUCUUUUGCUAGUUAAAGUCAGAAUUCUCAUGGAUAGAAAUUGAUCUGAAUAUGUUGAAAGGAGGAAAAAGUUCAUGCUGAACAAUCAGGAAUGGCAUGAGAAAAAAAUGAUCAAAAGAAAAAUAAUAGGAAUAUUGGCUACAGGAAAGUAGCUAAGUAGAUGAGCGGAGAGGCAUACAAUGAUAUAGGUUGGUUAGUAUAAGUUUUUGGAGGUCUGUACAUUUCAAGCUAAAUAAUUGAAAAAUUUCUAUAAGUACUUGGCUUAUAAGUUUUUUUUUAACAAGGAAACUGAAUCAAUUAAUGUGGCAUUUUAGGUUAAUUAACAGUGAAGUGAAGUUAUAUUAAAAGGGGGCAAAUUAGAAGAAGAAAAACUAAUUAGAAGAAGCCAGAAGCAAGAUCAAAAUUUGAUUCUGUUGAUGUUUUCCGAUUCAUUCAAGAGUAGAGGGAUGGCUCUUAACUUCUGGAUUUCCCAAACCUGGCUUCCUUCCUCUUCCCAGAACCAUUGUACUCUUUCUGCAUUAGGGGCUCUGCGCUGGCUGUCCCCACUGCCAGAAAUGCUUCUUCAUCCUAAUCUUUACAUGUCUCAAUCCUUAUUCAAUUCUCAGCUCACGAGUCACCUCCUCAGAGGGGACUUCCCAGACCAGUCAGGGGGGGCAGAACCACUUGUCCCUGUCUGUCAUACCUUGCUAGGCACCUGUCCCUCUCUAUCAUACUGCCCUAUUUAGAUUUUCUGUAGCAGCACCAGCUGAUAUUUUCUUAUUUAUUUAUUAAUUCUUGGAGUCCCUUCUCCUCCCCAGUUACAAAAUAAGCCCCAUAAGAGUUGGAUCAUAAGAGUUGUUGACCAUUUCAGUGUUGUAUCUCCAGUACCCAGUAGGAGCUCAUUAAUUACGUGUUAUAUGACUGAAUCAUAAAUAAAUUUGGCUUUGAAGUUUUAAGACCGGUGAAAUAUAAAAUCAUUAAGUUAAACGAAUCUUAGUGGAUCAGCACAAUUUAAUAACUGCUAAUUGAGUGAUAAAAUAUUUUAAAAAUAAAUUUUACUCACAAAGCACACAGAAAUGGAAGAACUGAAGUAUGUAAGUAUUUUUCUCAGUAUUUCAAAAAGUUAUGGGUAAUUUUCAGAACAACACAGUUGUCUGUUUCCACCAGAAAUGCCUUGGGCAUGAAGAAAAGCCCAGGGGAAGUGUGAAGGAAUUUAUUUAAGCUUUUGUUUCCAUUUUCCCCAGUGGUAGUUUCAAGACCUGUAUUGUAUAACUAGCUUGGGGUUUCUAGAGCAACUGAGUCUCUGAAAUGAUUGGGAAUAAGAAGCAUCCUCUAUUUUAUUUUAACUACAACAGAACCUUCUCGUCCCCUGACUUGCUCUCGAGUAACUAGAAACCUCUGUGCUACUUGCCUAGACAAAAGUGCUUUUGACUUCAGCAUGAGGCUCUCUCACUAUUAAUAAUUGUGUUCUUUUUUCUUGAAAUAUGCCACAGUUCACUUUUCAGUCCUUUAUGAAAAAUCUUUGUUGCAUCAAAUGAAGAUCAAGCCUGAGCAAAGGAACAGAGGGGCACAUUCCGCCAUGCCGAGAACUUUCUGUGCCUACUUUCUCCACUGGUUUCCCAGGCUGCUGUCAUUUGUAAUUUACCAUUGUGACUUUUUCUGAUAUUACAAUGAAUGGGCUUGUAUGUAACACCCAUUUUCCUCUUUUGACGGAAUUGACUAGCAAAUUAUUUGAAGUUGCCUCUUGAGGCCAUGAGGGGGAAAAUGUCAGUGUUAGCUAAAAGGAAUUGGCCAGUCUGAGUAAAUGGACUACUAAGCUCAAAUUACAAACUUAAUAAUAGCUCAAUAGAAAUACAUCUAUAUCUUACUGUCAAUCAAGUUUGGGAAUGAAACUCUAAGGAACUGAUAAAUAUUUCUGAUGUUAUUGAAAUUUUUUAGUGAAUUCUGUUUUUAUUUCUCUAUAUAUUUUUUUCCUGUAACAGAAUAUCUUAGACUGGGUAAGUUAUAAACAGAAGUUUAUUUGGCUAAUGGUUCUAGAGGCUGGAAAGUGCAGGAUCAAGGGCUAUCAUAACAUGGUAGAAGACCACAAGAAAAGAGAACAUAUAAAACAGAAAAAAUCAGGGGCAAGGGAACAAACUCUUCACUUUUAUAACUAAGCCAUUCCCCCUACAACAGCCUUAAUCCAUUCACAAGGCUGAUAUCCUCAUAAACUAGUCACCUCUUAAAGGCCCCACUUCUUUGCACUGUUGCCUUGGAGAUUAAGUUUCUAAUACAUGAACUUGGUGUAGGGGGGUUUCUUUCAAACCAUAGAAAUCCUUAUGUGAAAUUACUACAAUAUUGACUGGCAUCUAGAAAUCUUUAAAUCACAAAACGUUUUUAUCUUCUUCCCUUCUUUCUUCUUUCUUUCUUUCCUGACUGCCUCUCUCCCUCUGGCCUCCUCUUGCCUUUCUAACUCUUCCUCCCCUCUCUUUGUCUUACUAGUUUUAUUAUUUAUAAUGGCAAUUAAUCAGGAUUUCUUUUGAAUGAUCACCCUUUUAAGGAAGGCCUAUUUUUAAAGUAAAAACUUCAAAAGAAUUAAUAAGGCCAUAAGACAGCAAAUUAACUUUUAUAACUAUUUUCAUAAAUUUAAAAUAUUUGACCCAGUACCAUAUACUUCCAAAUUAAGCAAUUUAGGCAAACUUUUUUUGUGAAGAAUGUAUAGUUCUCUCAUAAAUAAUUUGUAAAAAUUGUAAAGAACCAUUUUUAAUUAACUGAGAUAUAUACUGGAAAAGUUAAUGUGCUAUAAAACUAAAUAUGUAUAAGUUUAUUUUAAAAUAUUCUUGAAUUUUAGAAAUCUUAGCAAAAUUUGUAUAUUUAGUUGAAUAGUCAUAUUGAGAAGCUCUUCAUUUACUUCACUUAUGGAGUCUCUUUUAAAACAUUUUUGGACUGUCUCUUUGGAAUUAAUUUAAGAGCUUACAACACAUCCUUUUGAAUAUGUUAAUGGCAGAUUUUCUUUCAUUAGAGACUGGUUUGAAUUUUGGAAAUUGUCAAAAACCAUUUGUUUUUAAAUCAGUUUCAUAAAAUAAGUGAUCAAUUUACAUUAUAAUCUUUGGAAUUAUAAAACAAAGUAACAGGAGAAGAAGGAAUAUAAAGCAAUUUGGUUAAUUUUCUUGUAUAGUUCAGAGAGCAUCUGAAGUCAUGUUUUGUAGUAAAUAUUUUCGUUUUCUAUUUAGUUGCUAUUUAAUGAUUUCUACUCUCCAGAGGAAAAAAAUGUUUUGAAUUGUUAUAAGUAGUUUGGCUUAAUUAGUCUUUUGGAGCUGAGGAAUCCCUUCUACCAUUUCAACACAAGGAAUAGGGCAUGUUCAGGUAUUCUGGGAUGCAUUUUAAAGAUGUUUCAUCUCCUACACUGCAUUACUCAGAUGUACCCAACAGGAAGAUGAAGAAUACCAAAUAAGAAAGAAACAUGAUUGUUGAACUCCAUGUCCCCAAGAUGAAAAUCUGUCCCAUUUGUAUGAAUUUCAGAGUGUUCUACAAUGAACACAGAUGGGUUUAUAGGGGUCCAAGACUCAUCAUUAGUGGAACAAAGAAAUAUUGGUAAAUUGUGGAUUUUAUGCAUAAAAACAGAAAAAGACUGUACUUGAAUAAGGACAAGAACAACCACCACUUUCUUCAUCCUGGUUUUACCAGCCUCCUUGGUUCAUUUCUCCAACAAACAUGUAUCAUGUGUCUCCUGGAUGGCUGGAGUAUUCUAGGGGCUCAAGUUCUGUGAUCAAACACAUCUUUCUCUGUCUUCAUGGACCAGGGACAUUGGGUGACAAGGGCAGUAUAAUUAAAAUGUAGUAUAAUUAUGAGAGAGAGAGAGAGAGAGAGAGAAAGAGAGAGAGAGAGAAUAGUUUUAAGUUCUUAUCAAAUCUACAAAGAAAAGUCCAGUAGAGCAGAAGUCAGAAGACAGUGAUGGGGUCAUUGCUUUAGAGAGGGAUCUUGGAAAGGUCCAAAGGUUGGCAACAGGUUCAGGAAGUUUGUGAGGUGAAGUCUGCAUGGCAUUAGGGAGUCCUCCUUAUCAAUAGCUUUCCAGGCAGAAGCAAACAAGCAGACAGAGGCACUGAGGUGGAGGUGUGCCUGGGGUGUUUUGAGGGCAAGAAAGGAUACCAUGGUGGAUGGAGUAGGGAAAGCAGGCUGGGGCCAGUAGGGGGUGAAGCUGGAGAUCACAGAGGGCUCAGGUCCGGUGGGGUUUGUGGGUCUCACAAAGAAUUGGAAUUUUUUUAAGAGUACAAAUGGAGGCCAUUGGAGGGAUUUUAGCCAGGACAGUGAAGCAAUCCAAUUUCAUUUUGUAAAAGACCCCUCUGUUAAUUACUAGAAAUUCUCUGCUAACAUUUACGGGUUGCCAUGUGCCAGACACUAUGCCAGCCAUUUUACACAGUAAAAUUACAAUAAAAUCCAAACUCCUUUCCAUAUCCUACCAUUGCAGCUUAAGUUGUGUCCCCUAGAAAGAUCUGUUGAAGUUCUACUGUCCUGUUCCUCAAAGUGUAAACUUACUUGGAAAUACAGUCUUUAAAAAGAUAAUCGAAUGAAAACGAGAUCCUUAGGGUGGGCCCUAAUUCAAUGUGACUGAUGUCGUAACAAGGGGAGGUUUGGGCACAGACAGAUAUGUGGAGACUCAGGGAGACCCUGUGAGAGUAGAGAUUGGAGUGACAAUUCACUGAGGAACAUGGGAGACAGCAGUCAAACCACAGAAGCUGGAAUGGGGACAUGGAACGACUGACCUUCUCCUCUCUUGGAAGGAACCAACCCAAGUGACACCCUUGUUUCAGUCUUCCAGGCUCCAGAAUGAGGAGAAAAAAAUUGUUAUUUGAAGGCAGUCAGUUUGUGCAACUUUGUCUUGGCAAAGCCCAGGACACAAAUACCACUCUUUCUCCCUCACCCACUGCAGUCAGUGCUGCUGGUCUUCUCCAGUCCUGCUCACAGCCCCUGCACCUGCCCUCCCUGUGUGGAGUGAGUGCCUCAAGAUUGGCACAUGGCUGGCCCUUCCUGUCCUUCAGCCUGCACAGUGAGCAGCAACUCCUCAGCCAGGCCCUCUUGGACUUCUGAUCUAAACUGGCACCCUCACCCCUGUCUACCCCACCCCUGUGCUCAAGGACACAGAACACAUACCCUGUUUUACGUUUUAUUUUUGCAAUACUUUCUACUCCCUGAAGCAAUCUUUUUCAUGUACUUACUUGUUUAUGGUCUGUCUCUCUUCUUUCCUUGUUCUAUCUCCCACCUAGAAAAUAAGGAACAAGAACAGAAGGCUUCUUUACUUAACACUUGGACUCCAGUGCCUGUAAGAUAUCCUGAAACAUAAUAGACACUCAAUAAAUGUUGGUUUAAUGAACAAGUAAUCCAGACACUAGUUACUCUUUGAGAUUUGAUUGAAAUUGUUGGAGUCUUCCUUAGAUACUAUAAACUUCUGGGGACUGACAUUCUAUUGCCUGCACAUUGCUGCUGGACUCUGUCUUACCCACCUUAUUCCUGUGGCUGGGGCCCUUCCUCUGCUCUGCACAGCUCAGAUGGGCCUCUUUCCUGGUUUUCCCUCUUAAGCCACUCACCCAUGUGUGUUUGUAUGCAUCUGACCCAUCUGAAGGGUGAUAGCAACAGACAAAAAAACCUAACAGUGGUGGUGGACACUGGUGUCCUUGUUAAAAUUCAUCAGCAUCUCACCCCUGGGAAGUUCUGAUGUGGAUACGGUUCUCCUGAGACUCCCAGCUUUCUUCUUCACUCUCUUUAUUCCCUUUCAUCUAUGCUCUUCCAUGCUUUCCUCAAUCCUUGUUUAUUUUACUUUAUUUUAUUUUAUUUUCCAGAGGAGUAUACAAUUCCCAUUGUUUCUUCACAUUAUUUCAUCCCUUAAUCCCAACCCCAUUCCAAACAGCUUGGUAAGUUAUAUUACUACCCAGAUACUUUCAUCUCUUAGUGUAACUCUGAUGCCAGUGGGUAAAGUUAUUUAUAAUUUUAUUACACUUUGGAGAAUUGUAUCAUUUAAUUGCUACAAUAAUAAAACAGUGAAAUGAAUCCCACUAUGAUCUCCAUUACACAUGAAGAAAAGGAGAAUUAUUAAAAAUUUUAAAUGAUUUUUCCAAAGACAAACAUCAAAUGAUGGUUUUAAGGUGUGGCCCUAAAUUGUGAGUUAGUAACAUAAAAAAUGUGUUACAUACAUACAUGAGCAUGUGUAUAAUAUAACUACAUAAUAUAUAUGGAUGGGUAGAUAUAUUUGUGUUUUAAUAAAAUGUCUAAAUGUGUAUGUAAUUCAUCUCAAACAUGAGUUGAAUUUAUCUCAUUUAUUAUUUCUUUUGUUCAUAAAGAGUCUUAAGUUAUAUAACAGUACUUUCAGAUAUUAGAUCUGGGAGAAUCUAAUGGGACUUACAGUUUCUAUGCUGGUAUCAAGAUUGAGGGCACCAGAUAGUCUUGACCAAUAUUGGCUCCAAGUUAGACACACUUGGGCUCAAAUACACAUCUGGCCCUAGCACUACUUGGGUUUGUGACUGUGAGCAGUUCUCUUAGGCUUUAAUCUCAGUUUCUAAAUCUAUAUAGUGAGUGUAACAACAAGACCUAUCUCAUGGGGUUGUUGAGAGAGUUAAAGAAGAUAGUGUAACAGGAUGAUAUAAAGAAUGCAGUCGUGCCGCAGUCUGGCUGGGCACAAUCAGGAGCCACUUGUCAAAAGAAACUAACUUUAUUUUUAGAACCACACAUGCCAAACAAAACAGCUCCUCAGGAAAAACCCUCAGAGCCCCAACUGCCAUCACUGGCUUCCCACAAGCCUCUCUCUCAACCAGGAGCCUCUCUACCUCCCCCCAUCCUCCUGCUCUUGAGGCCGAUUGGCUGGGUCGCAUGGGCGGAGCCAAAAAAGUCCACCAAUGAGCAGCUCUGUGGUCUGAAAGGGCAGGGAAACAGCCCAAUGAGCAUCACCGCAGAGGAGCCAAUCAGCUAGAUGUUGCUGGGGCGUUGUGAGCCAAUCAUCAGCUGGCAGCUGGAAGUUUGCUGGGGCCCCUUGGCUGUGGCUCUCAACACAGUCGUGUUUGAGAAACGGAACACCCUACACAUGUAAUAUGGGCAACCUUGGUCAGAAGCUCUGGGACAUAAAAACUGAAACACCCUUCUUAGCAUCAACAAUGACAUCCUUAAGAGAAGCAAAUCAAAAUCAAAUUCAGAAAAUGUUACUUUUCAGAUAUUGGGAACACACACACACACACACACACACACACACUCACACACAUAAUUCAAUUAGCUGGUCUUUCCCCAAGUCAUUAAUUCCUUGUGUAAGCUGUAGCAUUACCUGUUGCUUACCAAUAGCAUCCCAUGUCGUGCUCCUCAAUCAAUCAAAGGCAAAGCCAUCACCAGUAACACCCGGUGUCUCUCAUUUAAAAGGGAAGAGGCUUUCUUUCAUAUUUAAGAAUUGAGGUCACCGGGAUAUUGGAGAAGCUAAUGGCUGUUUUGGUAGCAAAUCUUUACUUACUUUUUAUGUUUUUAUAGAAAAACAUCAACAAUACUUCACAGAAUUCAUAGUAUUUAUUCAGGAAAGGGUGAAAAAUUCUUAUAGAGUUAACCCUCUUGCAUUCAAAACUUGUUAUAAAUACGUGUCAUGGAAUUAUCAUUUAUUUUACUUCUUAAUUUGAUAGAUGGCCUAUACUCCAAACAGCUAUUUUAAAAUAUUUAUUUCCUGUGAAAUGUAAGAAAUAACUGGGGAAAUGAUUUGAUGGAGACAAGUGAGAUCUAAGAGCUGGAAAUUUAAUUAACAAAUCCAGAUUUUCCCAGGAUAUAAUGGAGUUUAAACCCAAUUACCAAAAAUUUGUAAUAUGUUAAUGAAUGAUCCCAAGAUUAUCAACAAACUGAAAAUUUAUCCUUACUGAAAUCCAGGAUCUAGGGAAAAUGAUCAGUGAAUGUCUGUCUUUGUUUUGUCUAACCUCACCAUGGAGAAAAUGCCAAUGAGCAGUAAUAGGGAAGGAAAAUGGAAGAGACUGGAGUUCAACUCUGGACACCAGCUGACUACAUGGUUAAUAAUAAUAAGUGAGAAAGCAUGCAGUAGAAAGUGCUUUAUAAAUCAUAAGGACCUACUCAUUAUUGUUACUAUAGUUUCUAUUACAUUACCUUGAAUUGUUCUUUAUUUCAGAGAGCAGAUUAAAAAGAGACAAGAUUAAAGUAGUGAGUAAAAAUGAGAAAACUAAGCAAUAUUUUUUUAAUAUGAGGUUUGUUUAAAUAAUAUGAGUAGUGGCAACCUCAUAAAUAUAGUCUUUGAAUGUCUUCACCAUCUGAGUCUUUCAGGGACUGCUUAACUGCAGGCUCUGCUGAAGGAGGGAGACCACUUUCCAGGGGACAGUGAACUUGUGUGGUUCAAAAUCCUCCAGCUCAUUCAGAAUCCAGGUAUUUGCCUAGAAUGCCAAAAUAAUAGAAGACCUGGAGUGGUAGUUUAUGUUGGAAUGCAUUUGCAAACCCUGAAUCAUCAGUUGCACAAUACUCAGGAGACUCUCUCUAUAGCAGUCAGUAGUAUUAUCUGCAUUAAGUGCAAUGAUGGAAACAUGCAGUUAUGGAGAAGCUCUGGCUUCUCAUAGACAAUGAAGUUGAUACACUGUUCACACAUGUCCAUAUACUACUGUAAAAGAGUAUUACAUGGCAUCUCUCAGGAUUGUGCUUUUUUUAAAACAAAAUUCUUAUAGUUUUAUGAAUUCAGCCAAUAUGUAUUUAGCAAUGACCAUACGUAGGACCAAGUUAGGAAUUAAAAUGAACAAAGAAUUCAGUUGUGAAUCCCUUUCUUAAAGAACUUAGUCUAGUCCAGGAUUUCACAAACUUACACUGUUGACAUAUUUUUUUUGUUGUUGUUGGGGGGAGGGUUGUUCAAGGAUAUUUAGCUGUAUCCCCCAGACCCAAUCUACCAGACACAAGUAACACCCUGGUCACAAGUUGUUGCAACUCAAAACAUCUCCAGAUAUUGCUGAAUGUCCCCUGAGGACAAAAUUGCAUCAGAGAAUCACCAGUCCAGUACAAGUGAUAAAACAUGGAUACACAAAGAUAUCAAGUGAUGCCUAACAAGGAAGAAAUACAGAUAAGCACUAUGGAAAGUCACAGGAAGUAAAGGUCACUUUGAGCUGAAGAUUUUCUGGAGAAGGAAAUAUUUAAAUAAAUAUUUAAAUAAGGCCAUGAUGAAUUCUUAGGAUCUAAAGAUGCAAAGAAGGGAAGGACAUUCUAGGUAGAAGGAACAGCAAAUACCAAGAAAUUGAAGAAUAGAUGAAAUAGCUGGGAAUUUUAUAGAAAUCACAUCAGAUGGGUAACAAAGACCUCUCAUAGAUCCUAUGAUCAAGCAGGGUUUACCCUGUUGUGAUGGGGACACAGUGAUAGGAUCUUCAGCUCUGACUAGCACAAUCCCUUAUGGAUAAACUGCAGAUAAGAUGUAGGUGGGAGUAGGAUGUUAGGAGCCAGAUGGAAGCAUUGGCAUGAACAGUGUAUCAUCCAGAGAAUUCAGGAGAGGUGGAUAGGAGAUUAUGGACCUUACAAAAGUUUCAAAGCAAACUCAGUAAGACUAGGAGGGGGAAAAAAAAGAUUGAAUCAAAUAUGACCUAGAUGUCUGGAGCUUGGAGGUAUUAUUAAUAGAACUAAAAAGUGGUGAGAACAGUAGAGUUCAGAUUAGAGGGAGGUAAAUUCACUUGGGCCAUGCUCACUUUGAGACUCCAGUGGCAUACUGGAGUGAAUAUAUUCAUGAGGGAGUUGGAAAAGUCAUGUCUGGGGUGUGGGAGGUAGAUCAGAGUCAAGGGAGGAUUUUGGAAUUAUAUACUCUUAUGACUUUUUCUUCUCUCUCCCACUAUUCCUUAUGUUUCUUUUCUAGUCUUUUUUUGUCUUUGAAUCUGUUGUUGACACUUGUUAUCUCUCUCUCUCUAGUUAUUCUUUGAGUUACAGCAAUGAUAAUAGCGAUAGUAAUAAUAAUUAGUAAUGAUAAUAACCAACAGCUAUCACUCAUGAAGUGACUGUUACAUUUCAGGCAAGGAAUAACUGCUUUCUGCUUGUCUUUUUUCCUUCCUUCCACAGGAACAUUCUUUCAGUGUACCUCCCAUUACCUGGCCUCUUUAAUUUCUCAGAAAAAAAUGCUUUUAUUUUUAGAGUUGCUUUUCUCAUUUAAUUUUUAUAUAGCAACCACAUAAGGUCAAAAACUUUUUUUUCCAUUUUCAUAUGAGAAAAUAGAGGUCAAAGAUGUUAAAUUAGUUUCUGUGGCCUUUGACUCAGGACACAGACAAUACUCUCAGGUUCAUCACACUGAGAUGAUUCUCUUUUCACUAGGACAGCGGUAGACAAAUCACCGUCUGGAGGCAGAAUCUGACCUUCUAUUUGUUUUUCUAUAGCCUAAGAGGUAAGAGCAGUUUUUGCACUUUUAAAUGGUUGGGGGGAAAAAAAUCAAAGUAUAAUAUUUGUAGCAUGAGAAAAUCGUGGGAAAUUCAGUUCUCAGUGUUCAUUAUCAAAAUUGUAUUGUGACACAGGCUGGCUUGUUUAUGUAUCAUCUGUGGCUGCUUUUGCUCUGCAAUGGCAGAGUUGACUAGAAGAAAUCAAGACUCUAUGGCACAGAAAUCCAAAAGUGGUUGCUAUCUGGUUGCUAUCCUGUGGGUAUUCCCUAGGGUUUAUGGGUUGAAAUUUAAUCUCUGCUGUAAGGUAUUAAAAAAAAAUAGAAAUUUAAUCUAAUAAUGGGGUUUGGAGGUGGGACUUUGAGAGACUGUUAGUGUUUUAUUCACUGCUGUGACUGGAAGAUCUAACCAGAACAAUCAUAGAGGAGGAAAAGUUUACUUAAGGCUUCAUAGUUUCAGAGGUCUUAGUCCAUAGAAGGCUGGCUCCAUUCCUCAGGGUUGGAGGUGAAGCAGAAUAUUAUGGCAGAAGAGUGUGGCCUGAUCAUCACAUGAUUGGGUUAAGGCUCUCAAAACCCAAAUAUUUCUUUUCUGAAUUUUCUUGUAUUGUCUUACACAUAACCCUUUGUGGGACACCUCACAUCCAAACCAUAACAGUUGGGAUUAGAUAAGGUCAUCAGCAUAGAACCUCUAUGAUUGAGUACUGUUGGCUUUGGAAAAAGAUUAGAGGAGACACAUACAUAUACACACCCACAUUCUCUGUCUCUUGCUAGGUGCUACCCUGUGUCUCCUGGAGAUACUGUGAACAAGGUCAUCACCAGAUGCAGUCCCUCAGAUUUGGACCUCCAGAACUGUGAGCCAAAAUAAACCUUUUUGAAAUCAGUUAGCCUACCUCAGGUAUUUCAUCAUCAUUACAGAGAAUGUGCUAAUACAUUGGUCCUUUUUGAAAAUGUUUGCUGUUCCCUGAUGUUUCCAUUCGGUAUGCUUCUUCUGGACCCUUAAUCUAAUUUUCUGGACUCUUAAUCUAAUCGCAGCCUGGAGUGAAAAGAAGAAAGGGAGAUAAUGGCACUCCCAACCACUCUCAGUUAUAAUAGUCCACUAAUAAAGUCCCAACCAUCUGGAUAGGAAAACUUUACAUAUGUCAAAAAAAUGACAGAAUAUGAAACAUGGGUAACAAAUGAACUCAGCUAAACUAAUUAUGACUCAAUUCAUCAGUGAGGCACUGAAAACAUGGUAGAUUUUUUUCAAGAUGCAAAUAAAACCUAUAAAACUCAUGAUUACUGAAAAAAUAAAAUCUCAUUUCAAUGAAGUUGUAGGGAUUAACAGAUUGCUUGAGUGUCCCCACACUGAAAAUACAAAGCACUGUCAGAAAUCAAAAAUAUUUGUUGAAGAGUAAAUGAAAGAAUGUAUGAAGGCAGAAAGAUGGGAGGGGGGCAGGGCAUGCUAAACCAACACAGAAAUCAAAAGGGAAAAGAAUUUAGGAGGUGAAACUCUACUCCUAGGACCUUCCUUUUCUGGGGGAUGGUGGAAUGCUGGUAAACUGCGAAUUAGCUGGAAGGGCAUGUUGGUGUGAAUAGGAAGACGUAAUAACAAGCCCCAAUAUUCCAAGAACAUUAAUAUUUCAGAGUUUCUGAAGUUUGCCUCCCAGGCAAUAGUCUACUUCUGUGUGCUGCUUCUAAUUUUCCACUUUUUCUCUUCUUUAUCUUCCUUCAGUGAAGCAAUUUGUUCACCAUUUUCUGCAAGUGAAAUGACAGAAUGCAAUACAUAGGCACACUUGAAAAACAUUCCUCCCUAGUUUUAGGAUUUAGAUAGUUAGGAUCCUGGGUUAGCAUUCUCCUCCUGCAAAGUAGAAUCAUGGUAAGGGUUGGGCACAUCAUAUUUACUGAAAAAAAUACAUUGUGAAUAUUAAUUGAUAUUGUUACUAUUUUAUUAUUGUCCUUAGCAAAUCUGUUGCCUACUUUAAUAACUGAUAUUUACUAAUAGAUUUAUUUAUUGUUCAACUAUUUUCCUAGAGAAACUUUAAAUACUUUGACAGAAUCUAUGUUUUGAAAAAAAAUAGCUUAGGCUUAUUUGCAGAGACCUCACCAUGUACUUUAAGAUAGGUGGCCCAGAUGCCUGUGUGAGGCAGAAUAGACUGGAACCUUUACCACCUCUAUGUUUUACAAGGUUUUCCUCAAAUGUAUCUUCUUUCCCCCUUUCUAAUCUAUUGUCUUCCUUUCCCUAAAUCCUCUCCUCUUUCUGUUUAUCUCCUUAGUGAAGGGAUGUUGUAAUUCAUCUUUCCAUUCUACAUGUAGUUGCUCAAUAAACAUUUGAUAUAAUGAACGCUUUUGCUCAUCUCUUUUUGGUUCUUCUCUUUCCUCAACUUUUCCCUUUGUAUUAAGAGGGAAUACCUACAUCUUCUAAGCCACAGCCCUAAACCCUUACUAUGAUUCUACUUUGCAGGAGAAGAAUGCUAACCCAGGAUCCUAGCUAUCUACUCUAACCUUUUCGUCACACCAAACUUCUCCCUACUAGAAUCAAACUUUCCUAUCUUCUAGCCACAAUCCAACAUUUCCCAGUGUAAGCUCUACAGAACAGUAAUGAGAUAUUAAUUUAUUUAAAGUAAAAAAAAAUUCAUGGUUAAGUUAGUUUGAGAAAUACCUACUAAAACUCUUGAAUAGAUUCUUAGAGUGAAAUUUUUCAAAGCUUUUAAUAUGCCAAUGAGCAGUGAAAAUCUUCAAAAGCAAGCAUAAAAUUCAAUACUUUUUAGAUAUUUUAUCAAAGAAUUUCUCUCCCUCCUCUCCCGACAUCAAAUACACUUUGCAAAACAGCUCUUGCCCACUUAGGAAAAUCUUUGUCAGACAGUGCUCCUCACUUACGACACAGGCAUCUGUUGGACCACGUUCAUCCCCUGUUGGGAGAGGGACUGUUAUUGAUAUUUGAGAAGGGAACUGAUCUGUAUUGAUGAUUUCUUCUGCUGCAGACACUAUGCUACUUAAGGACUUUGAUAAUAUUGAUAAGAAGAAUUAAAGCAAUAAAAACAUCCGCUGAGGGGCUAGGGAUGUGGCUCAAGCGGUAGCAUGCUCGCCUGGCAUGCGCAGGGCACUGGGUUCGAUCCUCAGCACCACAUAAAAAUAAAAAAAUAAAGAUGUUGUGACCACUGGAAAAAAAAAAUCCACUGAUACGUUUUAUCUCAUUUAAUAUAGUCUCCCAUUAAAACCACGAGGCUGGUGCAGUUCUCUUCAUUUUAUAGAUGGCAAAAUUGUGGCUCAGUUGGUUGACCUGGCCUCAGCCAACUAGCUAAUGAGUACCAGACCCAGAAUUACAGGCCAUGUCUGAAACUGAUGCCAGACCUGUUCCUUUCCACUGGCUACCUGGGUAAUUGUGGAGCCAUCAGCCAAACUGUCUCAUAAGUAAUCAUAGAAAUGGGCACAAACCCACUGAGAAAAAAAGACUUAGACAAAUUGUAAAAAGGGAGUUAGUAGAACUGUAUAAGACCACUGUGGUUGUAGAGUUAACAUACUGCACCAUUGGAAGGGGAGCAAGGUGAUUGGCACUUCCUAAAAUAGGGCAUGGUUCCAUGUUAGCAGCUGUCUGUGCCAAUGAUGGAACAGAUAGAAAUUAGAAAAGGUAGUCAAGUAUCACUGUCUUUUGAGUUUUCAGAUGCAAAUAUCAAUUUUGAGCAAGAACUCAAGUCAAAAUGAUAAUCAGCUUUAGAAAAAUAUUUGCACAUGAAAACUCACUAGACAAAAUAUUAGGAACUAGUGUAGCAUGGGCAAGGGAGAGCUGAUCCUUCCAGAUAUGGGACAUCACUUUGUCAAAUUCAUAAUGAUGAUUUUCCUCAGAUCAGUGGAUUCCCUCUCUUCCUUUGUUUUUCCCCUUUAUUUUUUGUAUCAUCUUUGUCUUUUCUAAAUAUUUCUGUUGAGCUGCUGUGCUCCCCCACAGUUGGCUGAGCCAGACCUGACCAGAGAAGGAGAGGUUAUCAGUAGCCUCAAUGCAGCAGCUGUUACAGUCUGAAAGUCAUCCUUUGACCUUUCGCCCAGAGUGCAAUGUGCUGGAGAUGUAGCUCUGAAUCACAGCCCUUCCCUUCUGCCACACUGGCCCAGGCACAAAAGGGGAUUCCCUGCCCAACACAUGAACUCCUUUCUGCAACUGGCAUUCUGCUCUAAAAACCAGAUUCCUUGUGAGAACUUAUCCCUAGGGAGCCCUUGCCUAACUUCUGCCUGGAACUGGAAUAUGAUAUGCAUACCUUUCAUUAUUGGCCAAGAUUUCCAUUGUGCAUAGUGAAAAGCAUAGAAGCUUUGGUAUCAGACACUCCCAGACACAAAUUCCAGCCUUAUCAAUUACUAACUGUAAAACCUCAGGCAAUCUAUGAAAAGGGAACAGUAAGGACUUCUUCACAUGAGAUCAUCUACAAAGGGCUUUGAUUAGUUCUCUCUUCCCUCUCUGAGAAGAAUUUGGGGUAGAUAUUGGUUAGGAUUUUUUUCAGUUGCUGGGAAUGGUUACUCAACUGAAAGUUAUUGAAACAGUGAGGAUAUUUACGGGUUUAUAUAAAAUAAAGUCCAGAGGCAGGAAAGCAUCAAGUCCUGUUUAUCCUAUCUAAUUAUGUCAUAAACAAGCAAGGUUUCUUCUGUCUCUCUGCAUAACCAUCCACAAAGAAGAGCUCAUCCUCAAGAAAAUUCUCUACUUGGUAGUAUGGUGGCUUUGAGGAACAAUUGGUGUUAUAUGCUUCUCUAUUUACUUUUAGAGGCAAGGAGAGUAUUUCUUCCUAAUCUUUGGAACUGAAGUUCUUCUUGUUCAUUGCUUGAACCAAUUUAAGUCAUAUGUUCUUACAUGGAUAACUUUUAUGGAGAGAUGCUAGGUGCUAAUUGGCCUAAGUUCCUGAACUACCAUGAGUCAAUGAACUACUAUAAUUGACUAAGAACCAUAAGGGCCAUUUCUAAUUCUAUCGAAAGUACCCAGUGAGGAAGGGGUGGGGUGAAUGUUGAAGAUAAGACUCUAUAGGGUGAAAAAGCCUGAACACUUGUUCACAUUCCUACUCUACAAGUACCAGUGGAGUUAUCUUUUCUGAACUUCAUUUUAUCCAUAUGAAAAUGACGUACAAAAAUAGUACCUGUCUCAUUGGCUAGUUUUGAGGAUUCAGGGAAAUAAAAUCUGUGAAACCCUUAGCAUGGAGCCUAGAAAAUGUCUACAAAUUCUAAUUUUUACUAUUUCACUAUGUGCUUCGAAAUGUGGUACCACUUCCCGCAAGAUUUGGCUGUCAUCUAAUUCCUGGAUUCCUAUCAUGGACCCCUUUGCACCAGAGUGGCUAAAUCACUAUUUAUUUCAUACCUUCUCUACCUUGUACCUGUGAUUGUUCAGCUGCUCAUAAAGGGUAGCCUGGAUUUGUUCUUUCUCUACCUGCAACACUAUCCUAUCAAAUCUCAACUAUUGAAAUAUCAACUUGUUUAGUGCCUGAGUACUAUGAUUGAUGUGGUGUGUCAGCUUGGCUAAAUUAAGGGACACCCAGAUAGCUGAUAAUGCAUUAAUUAUUCUCAGAGUUUCAGUAAGGCAUGAGUCCCUACUGAAAAUAUGCUAACCAAUAUCCAACCAGAUGGGAUAAGCCCAUCCCUUUUCAGCUGCAAGAGGUACCCAAGUGUUUUGACAUUUGAUUAGAAUGAUUGAGCUUCCUCAGGUGUGUUUGUGAUGUGUUUCUAGAGGAGAUUGGCAUGUGAGUCAGUGGACUGAGUGGGGAAGGUCUGUGCUCAGUAUAAGCAGGGAACAUCUAAUCAGCUGGUGGCCCGGCUGGAUCAAAAGGUGGAAAAAGGAUGAUUUCUUACUGUCUCUUCCAGAGUCAGGGUGUCCUACUCUUCCUGACUCUGAAUAUUGGAACUCCAUAUUUUCUGGCCUUUGAACUCUGGGACUUGUAUCCAUGGAACCCCUGAAUUCUUAGGCCUUCAGAUUGAAAGUUAUGCCCCUGGCUUUCUUCUCUACCUUGCAGAAGCAUUGACUGAGCAAGCACUGAGCCAUGCUACCAGCUCCCUGGUUCUGUAGCUUCCUGGCAGCCUAAGGUAGCACUUCUCAGCCUUCACAAUGAACUGAGUUAAUUCCCUCCUCAUGUAUCCCUAUAGAUCCGGUGAGUUCUCUCUCUCUCUGGAGAACCCUGCUGGAAACAAAGAGCAAACUAUCUUGAUAAUUUUCCUGGUAACCAAGAAAUGAUGAAUAACAAGUAUUAGCCACUGUCUGUUUAUGCCAACAGUGAAUUUUAAAAUGUCUUCUAUGGUGUUAACUGCUAAGAUGCCUACUACAAGAAUUGAAUAUUUGUAUUCGAGCUCCACAUUGGAACUAGGUCUGCUUUAUUACUAUGCCAACCAAUAUCAUUACUGCAUUGCUUACAGUCUCAUUUUGUCUUACAGAUAGAUACUAUUCAAUAUUAUACAUCCUUAGAUGUUUUAAAAUUUCUAUGGGUUUUACCGCUUUCUAAAUAGGGGCUUUCCUUUUCUGCUAUAUCUUUGUUAUCCAGAAAUACUAAACAUAUUCUUUUUUACUUUUUCUAUUUGCUUUCUUUGAUGGCAUUCAAAUUUUUUAAAAUUUAUCCAUUUACAUCCUGAAAGGUGUAAUGAAUUCCAUGGGUUUAUUAAGUUCCCAUACUUUGCUUUCUGAUCCUUUCUUUCUCUUCCUCGCCCCUCACCAUAAAAGCCUGGAAGUGACACACAACUGCAGCCCUUUGAAAAAGUGGACUGUGCUGUGGUGGCAAUAGCGAAGGACAAUCGCUCUUGGUUAUUCAAACCUUUCCAAGAGGAAGUUGAAGGCCAGUCUGUCAUAGAAGCCCAGGAAGACCCAAAGGCUACAGUGGCAGUUUCAAACUGGCAUAUGGUUAGUAGUAAAGGUUGAAAACAGAUGGUGACUGGAGUUCGAAGCAAAUAUUUUCAUUUUCCAAACAGCAGACACAGCGCCAGGCCCCUAAUGGCAGCGUAUCACAUUUCAGUGAGAGAAACCUGAGCUCCAUGGUAGGCUUUGGCUUCACCCUCAGAGAGGAGCAACAUGUUCCACAAAGGCAGCAUUUGGGAGGAAGGCCCCCUCUUCCCCAGGCCAUGAGCACAGAUGUGCUCUGCUGGCUGCGACCCUGCUGGCUGGGACACAGGUCUGAGAGGAAAACAACAUCCAAAAGCUAGGCCCUGCCUUUGGCCACAGAUUAUAGCCAUAAGUGAUACCAGACGAAUAUUAAAAAGAAAAUGCCUCAUCCACAGAAAUGUGCUUUAAGGAUGACUCAUCUUACUUGUGUAUAUAUGAAAGAAAAAGGUUGAGAUCUGGGCGACAGCUAUUGUUGAAUUAGGGGACCACCUCAGCACUGAUCUUAGUGUAUUGGUCUUAAUUCUUGCAACUCACUCACAACUGUGAGUAGCUACCCCCAGGAGGCAGAGGGGGCCGGGAGCCCAGCGCUGGUUGAGGAGAAUCCCGGCUGUGUGCUUGGAUAAAGAGGGACUUGACUGCAGUUAGGGCAGUUGGACCUGUGCAAUUGGAUGUGCACAGGUGUGGGACACACUUCUCAAAAGGGAGCAGGGUAGAGAAUAGAGCACGCUCGGGAGGAAUCCCUGUGGCCCUUUCCCUUGGCUUUCUUUAAGGCUGUGCUGCUGGGAUGCUUCUUUCUCCAUGCUGAUUGGAAUCUAUCAACAUUCUUGGUCCUUGGCAUUUCUCCCCCCAGGGUCUUUGCCUAAAGGAUUUUGCAGCUUAUUUUUCUCCUUCCUGAUUGCACAUGGUAGCCCCUCUUCAGCACACGUGUGCACCAGGGCUCAGCUUCCGUGACUCCUGCCCUCCAGCCACUGCUGAAGAGAUGAACCUCUGGGAGGGAGCAAAAGGAUUAAAGGGACAAGCCUCUGAAGUUUGUAUGAAUUGGAGCACUUGGGGA
rnacentral:lncRNA from 1 species